CCUACGGGUGGCAGCAGUGAGGAAUAUUGGUCAAUGGUCGGAAGCCUGAACCAGCCAAGUCGCGUUAGGGAAUAAGGCCCUACGGGUCGUAAACCUCUUUUGCCGGGGAGCAAGGGCGGGGACGUGUCCCGUCCCGGAGAGUACCCGGAGAAAAAGCAUCGGCUAACUCCGUGCCAGCAGCCGCGGUAAUACGGAGGAUGCGAGCGUUAUACGGCUUGAGCGGGUUUACAGGGUGCGUAGGCGGUCGGAUAAGUUAGAGGUGAAAUCCCGAGGCUCAACUUCGGAAUUGCCUUUGAUACUGUGCGGCUAGAGAGUAGUAGCGGUAGGCGGAAUGUAUGGUGUAGCGGUGAAAUGCUUAGAGAUCAUACAGAACACCGAUUGCGAAGGCAGCUUACCAAGCUACUUCUGACGUUGAGGCACGAAAGCGUGGGGAGCAAACAGGAUUAGAUACCCUUGUAGUC
rnacentral:rRNA from 1 species